GUCUGGAUAAGAUCUCACGACGGCGGGGAACAGAGCAACCGGACCUACGAAGGGUCCACUAGGUCAGAAGGAAACCCUAAUGUCAGCAACUAAUAUAAAAUCCCCAAACAAGGAACCACGGGAAUCGGUUUCCCAAGACCGAUUGCCGAAUCACAUCGGGUGUCCCGAAUAUCGCACCGGGGCUUCGCCGGGGUCCACUAAUUGUCCCGGAACUCCCCAACUCCAACUGGGAGUCAACCCCUGCCACUAAUACUCUAUAAUAACCCACAUUGGCAGCAAACACCACACUUCGCCUCGGAACAGACAUCGUUGACUAAACGUCUCGAACCGGGUUCCCGAAAGUGUCGUUUUUGACACCGGGACCCACCAGUCGCUCACCCGUCGUUUUCGAACCCCUGAAACGACACGGGUGACCUGCCAAGAAGGCUUAGCGACAUCACAACUGAUCCCGAGGCAUCGUCGGAUAAAAAUCGAACUAAGAUCGCAUUCCGUCGACGAAUUUCGCCACGAAACGCCCCGAAAGAGGCUUUUCGAUCUCCGCAGUGGCUUGGGGCCUUGGACGAUCAGUCCAGAGGUUACCCUCAGCGUUUACACGCUGUCCACAGCGACCGAGUCGAAGUUAUAAGCAAGAAAGCACAUCAUGAACCCUAAAAUCUAUCAUUUUAUGCGAUUUUCGACAGUUUUUAUGGCCCGAUCUUGCGAUACGAGGUUCGCUGGGUCAACCGUCGGACCCGCUGAUAGAUUUCAGCGUGCCGGAGACCGUGCUCACCAUUCGGAGCACAAUCGGCGACUGCGGUGCACGCACAAGCGACGCGAAGGUCAGCGAAGCAGCGCGCACUGCAGGAAGAUCGCGGUUGCCCGAGCAACCAAGGCAUCUCAGGGCUCGACGGAAGUGAGCACGAUGUUCAGCACGACCUAAGGAUCAUCGUGCUCACUUCCCGAGGUCAAAAAGACCAUUCGGAUUGCCGAAAAAGUUACCGGAAAGUGGGAAAACAGUGCUGGAAUGCAAAAAUGGACACUCACAGUGAGGGGGGAGCUAGGGUUGGCCGCCGGCGGUAUUCCGGCAGGCGAUCCGGCCGGGGAGGGGUGCACCAGGUGGCGGGGCUCCGGGGAACUCCACGUCAGGCGGCGCAGGGCGGCCGGAGGUGCGGCGGCGGCGUACGGAGCCGCCAACUCCCUUGCGGUUUGGUGCUUUCCAACAGUUGCCGGCGGCGACGCGGCGGCCGGGGCUGGUCGGGGCCGGUCGGGGACGAUGCCGGGGGUCGAGGCGGUGGCCGAGCUUGCGUCGGCGGGUGGCGGCGAUGCCCGGGAGUGAAGGCGGCCCGCGUUCGGCCCCUACAGCACAAAGGCGGCGGCAGGGGGCUCCUGCGGCGGCCGGCGGCCCUCGAGGGUGGCCGGGGUCGGGCGCGGUGGUCGCCGGACGGUCGGUGGAGACCUCCGCGGCCGUCGGGAAACGGCGGCAGGGCUCACACACCCGAGCCACCCAGCUUCGGCCUGGGUGGUGUCCCUGGGGCCGCAGGCGGCUACGGCGGCUCCGGCGGCGCACGGCGACGGUGGGGGUCGGCGGUGACGGUGCCGGCGGGGGUGCCUGGGUCGGGGCUCACCUCACCCGAGGCCUGGCCGGCUCAGGAUGGUGCUUGGAACUUCCUCGGCCAAGGUGGAGGGAGAGGGAGGAAGGUUGGAGCUUGGGGAAGCCUUUUCCGGCGACGGCGGCGGCUGCCGGCCGCCGGGGUGCAAGCACGGCGUGGGCAGGGGGCCUCCUAGGCGGCUGGUGCACAGGGAGGGCUAGGGUU
rnacentral:lncRNA from 1 species